ACUACGUCGAAAGAGAUAUCCAUAAUUAAUCCUCGGAACAUUUAUGCCGGAAAUGUUUAUAGUAACGGCAAUAGGUCUUUGUUUAUUUGUUUAUGUGACCUGAUAUCUCAGUGUGCCACUGACGUUGGACAAAACUUACUGAUAUCUGCCUUGGCUGUUUCCAACAUUGGUUCCUGUAAAACAAACGUGAAGCGUAUACAAAUGAACGUAAUGUUCUUAAAUAUUUUACCACCCACAGUGAAGUCUCAAAUACAGCCAGAUCAUGGAAAAUCUGAAAACAAAGUUGUGUGACAUAGACAGGCAGAAUCGAAGGCAUGGAGAUUUUAGAGAAGUGUGGCUGCGUUGAUGUGGGGAUGUGGUCGUGAAUUUUUCUGCAUGUUUGUCUAGUGAGGAGUGUUGAGAGACCAAUGAAUAGAGUACAACCAUUUUUCAAGUCGUUGAGCUAACUUAUAAGAUCUGUAUACAUAAGGUGUAAAUGCUUUUGGAAGUGUGUUUAUUAAAAUAUUAGCCUGUGGUUCAAGAUGCUGUACGUUCAGGAAAAU